CUGUGGACCUGGGUGGUGAAGGGGCUUCCCGUAGUACCACAGCAAAAGAAGGUGCUGUUUUGACAUCCCAGAGGGCAGAUGUCACACAGACAAGAGAACAUAUGCCCGUGUCAGCACAGAACCCUACCCACAGCCACGCACGACCUCACAAUGGCAUCACUGAAGAGGCCUUGCUGCCCUGGAGAUCUGCAGUGAGGUACAACUGGCAAGCUCCUAGGUCUGCUCUGGGCUGGUAAUAGAACCAAACUAGGCCAGAAGGCCCACAUGCUCCCCAUGAACUGUGGGCCACUGCAGGGGACAAGGGCAGCGUCUAACAUGAGGGGGUAGAGCUGAUAGAACCACCAAAAGGAGGUUAAGCCACCAAAACCCACUCUAAUGCCUGGAUAGGACCAUGUCUCUGGCCCUAUCUGCUGCUUUCUGGGGUCAAAGCCCAUGCUUUCUCCGGCUGGGAAACGCAGCUUGCUGGGGUACGCGAUGAGUGGAAGUAUAAUGCUGGACACUCAACCCGGUCUUCCAAGUAAUUCCAUGUCACCACCAGGAGCGUCUUGGCUUGCACCCUUUCCUCUCACUCAGUGGACCGCUUCUCUUUUCCCAUAGGCAUGUGCACCACGCAUCAAUACACAUUCGUUAGCAAGUGAUGUGGACAGUUAUCACAGGACAGGUAUUAAAGAGAACGCCAGGGUUAUAUGGCAUUUUUGUUUGUUUGUUUUGAGGUGCCUUACCCCAUAACCCUGUGGGGUUUGCUGUUCACUGGAUGCCCAGGCUGGGCUAGUCUUAAACUCCUGGCAAUCCUCCUGCCUUAGCCUUCUAAGCACCGCAUUUCCAGGCAUGCACCUCCACACUCAGCUUCUGGGUAUUUGAGCUUGUAUUAGGUACCUUUUAUCUUGGAUCACAGGGAUACUUUGAAAAUAUUUAAUUAGCUCUCAAAACGUGUCUGCAAGGAAGACACUAGUGUUUGCAUCCAUAAAAUAUGAACGAAAACAAAAAGGUAAAAAGGCUUUCCCUCAGUGCCUCAGAAAUGAGUCAUUAGCAGUGUGGCAGCCACAGGUCCCUAACCCAUCCCGCUUCUCCUCGGCCUGCAAGCACACCCUGUCCCAAACAGCCCCCACCAAGUCCACAUGGCUUCUGCUGAUAGGGCUCCAGAGCACUGUGGCAUGCUAAAUUUGUAUGGAGAAAGAGAAAUUUGAAACAUGAAGUAUAGCUAAGCUCAAGGUUAUGAUAAACUGUAAAGGUCAUUUGAUGCUCUUCUCAGUCUAGUCUCGAACUGUAGCACUCUCUUUGGCUAUAUUAGUUGUAUUUGGUGGCAGUUAGAGAGAGCUGCCAGCAACCCAAGGGAUGCCUGUGAUGCCACCAGCACUGGGGUUGUGCUGCUAUGAUGAGCACUCUACAGAAUAAGACUCUGCCUUAAAAACUAAGCAAAACUGGCCUGGGUGGGCUAAGCCCACCAGAGACGACCCCACCUAGCAUCACACUGAAGAUACCCAGAGGCCCUUGUGCCACUAAGGUUUCAAUUAUCUGUCCUCACCCACGUUCUGAAAAUGUUACGUGGAAAGUUCCAUACAUAAAUGUCACAACUAGCCACGAGAGCCUGUUAUAGCCCUUCAAGUUAUCACAGACCCGUGGCCGGAACUUCAAGCCUGCCUUCAUCAGCGAGACUGUCCACUGAGGUGGUUUCCAAACCAACCUUGCAAAUUGUAAGCUGCCAGUAACAAGCAGCCAGAAGAAAUGCUUACCCACCAUCCAACACGGCUGAACUCACCGUUCCCUAGUUAUCCUUGGCAACAGCCAACUGCACAACAAAAGAACCCUUCCCAUCUCCUUCUACUUGUCCUGCAGUAGCGGCGCCUUUGCCUGCAAGCAGCGCCUGUUCUGCCCUGAUUCUUUCAUCAGAGGAUGAAUCAGCAGGACUUCCCAAAACUAAAAUUUUAUUGAAGUUGAAUCACUCAUUUUCUAGAUUUCUUCCCCACCACCUUUAUAAAUUCUUCAUUUUAAAUAGAAAAUAUUAGGACCAGAAAAAGACUAUUUAAUAAUAAUAAAAACAGCACCAGGCA